GUGGUGGUAAACUCCCUCCAUUUUCCUUUUCUGGGAAAGUCUUCAUCUCUCCUUAAUUUCUGAAGAACAGCUUUGUCAGACAACAGAAAUAUAUUUUCUCACACUUCUGGAGGCUGGAAAUACAAAAUCAAGAUGUUGGCAGGACAACACUCCCUCCAAGACUUCGAGAAGAAGAUCCUUGCCUUUGAGCUUCUAAUGGCGCCAGGCUUCCCUGGCAUGUGGUUGCACAACUCCAAUCUCAAUCUCAUCUUCCUGUGCUGUCUUGCCUGUGUCUAUAUGUCUCCGUCUUCAUAUGGCAUUCUCCUCCCUGUGCCUCCAUUUUCUCUUUUUUUUUUAUUAUUAUACUUUAAGUUUUAGGGUACAUGCACACAACGUGCAGGUUUGUUACAUAUGUAUACAUAUGCCAUGUUGGUGUGCUGCCUCCAUUAACUCGUCAUUUAGCAUUAGGUAUAUCUCCUAAUGCUAUCCCUCCCCCCUCCCCCCACCCCACAAAAGUCUCCAGUGUGUGAUGUUGCCCUUCCUGUGUCCAUGUGUUCUCAUUGUUCAAUUCCCACCUAUGAGUGAGAACAUGCGGUGUUUGGUUCUUUGUCCUUGUGAUAGUUUGCUGAGAAUGAUGGUUUCCAGUUUCAUCCAUGUCACUACAAAGGACA
rnacentral:lncRNA from 10 species